rnacentral:rRNA from 1 species
AGGCCCAUAAUCUUUAGGCCCAUUCGUUCCGGACUCUCAGUUGUCCGUACUCGUUAACCUCGUGCUCCUACCCCUGCUUUGAUCCUUAUCUCGGCGCCGGAGCCCACGACCGCUUCCCCGCUCACCACCCCAACCCCGAAAUAUCCCCCAAUUCCGACGCGACCGCGGAACCCUAGCCCCCCGGCAAUCUUCGCUGGACCCGGAGAGCCGCUCCGGCGCCAUGGCAUCCCCGGAAGGAUCAAACUGGGUAUUCGACUGCCCCCUCAUGGACGACCUUGCUGCCGCCGACUUCGCCGCGGCAUCCGCAGGAGGCUUCUACUGGACCCCGCCGAUGCAGCCGCAGAUGCACACUCUUGCGCAGGCCGUCUCCGCCACCCCGGCUCCCAAUCCCUGUGCUGAAAUCAAUAGCUCUGUUUCGGUGGACUGGGACCAUGCCAAAGGACAACCGAAAAAUAAACGUCCUAGGUCAGAAACUGGUGCUCAACCUAGCUCCAAAGCAUGCAGGGAGAAAGUGAGAAGGGACAAGCUAAACGAGAGGUUCUUGGAAUUGGGUGCUGUCUUGGAUCCGGGGAAAACACCUAAAAUCGACAAAUGUGCUAUAUUAAAUGAUGCUAUCCGUGCGGUAACUGAAUUGCGUAGUGAAGCAGAGAAGUUGAAGGAUUCCAAUGAGUCUCUCCAAGAGAAGAUUAGAGAGCUAAAGGCUGAGAAGAAUGAGCUACGAGAUGAGAAGCAAAAGUUGAAGGCGGAGAAAGAGAGCCUGGAGCAGCAGAUUAAGUUCAUGAAUGCCCGUCAGAGCCUCGUACCACACCCUUCUGUCAUCCCAGCUGCUGCAUUCGCUGCCGCCCAAGGCCAAGCGGCAGGGCACAAGCUGAUGAUGCCUGUGAUGAGCUACCCAGGAUUUCCCAUGUGGCAGUUCAUGCCGCCUUCAGAUGUUGAUACCUCCGAUGACCCCAAGUCAUGCCCUCCGGUUGCAUAAGCCAGCAAAAAUCAUUUGCCUCAUCUAUCUCAUGGGGAAGGAUGGCUAAAAAGCCGUCCGUUAAAGUAUAUCUUAGUCGUCAGUGUUACUAUGCAGAAGCCGUUUAGUGUUACUAUAUGUAGUUAAAUCAAGAACCGAACUGAAGCGUCGUCGUUGUAUCACCCGGGAACAUUUGAUUAUCUUGUGAAACCGUUGUAUAUUGUUAGUAAAUAAAUACCAUCCGUUGAAGCAAAUGGCGCUUGGACGCCAUAGCAUUACCG